AGCCUCUACCAACAUUUUCUCAUCUUCAGUCACCCACUCACUCAUCAAUUCAAACCUCGUCAAUGGAAUCCGUUAAAUCUAACGGUAACGGUAACGGGCUUUGCGUACCCAGCGACCCCCUUAAUUGGGCCGCAGCGGCGCAGUCCCUAGCGGGGAGCCACCUCGAUGAAGUGAAGAGUAUGGUGAAGGACUACAGGGAGCCCAUGGUGAGAAUUCGAAGGCGCGACGUUAAGCGUGCGCCCCAGGUGGCGGCUGUGCUGCCCAUGGGCCGUCGGUUUUUGUUUUUUUUUUGUUCUUUUCUUAGGGUGGGGGAGGAAUUUGCGCGAGUCUGGCCCGGGGCCCGGGUGAAGGCUAGUAGUGAUUGGGUGAUGGAGAGUAUGAGCAAGGGGACUGAUAGUUAUGGGGUGACCACUGGUUUUGGAGCUACUUCUCACCGGAGGACUAAGCAAGGGGGUGCUCUGCAGAAGGAGCUUAUUAGAUUUCUCAACGCCGGAAUAUUCGGCUCCGGCAAGGAAUCCGGCAACACGUUGCCGUCACCGGCGACUCGCGCGGCGAUGCUUGUCAGAAUCAACACCCUUCUUCAGGGAUACUCCGGCAUUCGAUUCGAGAUCCUCGAGGCGAUAACUCGGGCCUCCUGAACGCCAACAUCACCCUUUGCCUUCCCGCUUCCGAGGCACCAUCAGCUCCUCUGGCGACCUCGUCCCUCUCUCCUACAUCGCCGGUAUCCUCACUGGCCGUCGCCAUUAUGUCAGGGCCGUAGCCCCUGACGGCCGCUCAGUCGACGCCUCCGAGGCCUUCGAGCUGGCCGGAAUUGAUGGUGGGUUCUUCGAGUUGCAGCCUAAGGAAGGCCUUGCUCUCGUCAACGGGACCGCCGUCGGGUCCGGGCUCGCUUCGACGGUUCUCUUCGACGCGAAUGUGCUCGCCGUGUUGGCCGAAAUCUUGUCAGCGGUAUUUUGCGAGGUGAUGCAGGGAAAGCCCGAGUAUACCGACCAUCUGACGCACAAAUUGAAGCAUCACCCGGGACAAAUUGAGGCCGCUGCAAUAAUGGAGCACAUUCUGGAGGGAAGCUCGUAUAUGAAAAUGGCGAAAAAGUUGCACGAACAAGACCCGUUACAGAAGCCAAAACAAGACCGUUAUGCUCUACGAACCUCGCCACAGUGGCUAGGUCCGCUGAUUGAGGUUAUCCGCUCAUCGACCAAAUCAAUUGAACGGGAGAUCAAUUCGGUGAACGACAACCCGUUGAUCGAUGUAUCGAGGAACAAGGCUCUACACGGCGGGAACUUUCAAGGGACGCCGAUCGGAGUGUCUAUGGAUAACACUCGGCUGGCCAUCGCCGCAAUCGGGAAGCUCAUGUUCGCUCAGUUCUCGGAGCUCGUCAAUGACUUGUACAAUAACGGGUUGCCUUCGAACCUAUCGGGUGGGCGAAACCCUAGCUUGGAUUACGGGUUCAAGGGUGCGGAGAUCGCCAUGGCAUCCUACUGCUCGGAACUCCAAUUCCUUGCGAAUCCUGUGACGAACCACGUCCAGAGCGCCGAGCAACACAACCAAGACGUGAACUCCCUCGGUCUCAUCUCAUCAAGAAAGACCGCUGAGGCGGUCCACAUCCUAAAACUCAUGUCAUCGACGUUCUUGGUCGGUCUAUGCCAAGCCAUUGAUCUCCGACAUUUGGAGGAGAACUUGAGGAGCACAGUCAAGAACACGGUGAGCCAAGUCGCCAAAAGAACACUAACGAUGGGAGCGAAUGGUGAACUCCACCCCUCGAGGUUCUGCGAGAAGGACUUGCUCAAGGUGAUUGACAGGGAGUACGUCUUCGCCUACAUUGAUGAGCCUUGCAGCGCAACAUAUCCGUUGAUGCAGAAACUGAGGCAAGUAUUGGUCGAACAUGCGCUGAACAACGGGGAGAAAGAGAAGGAGGCGAGCACUGCCAUAUUCCACAAGAUUUUGGAGUUUGAGGAGGAACUGAAGGCAACAUUGCCGAAGGAAGUCGAGGGGGUGAGAGUGGCGUUUGAGAAUGAGUGUUUGGCUAUUCCGAAUAGAAUCAAGGAAUGUAGGUCUUAUCCUUUGUACAGGCUUGUGAGGGAGGAGCUCAGAGCUGGUUAUCUCACCGGAGAGAAGGUGACGUCGCCAGGAGAAGAGUUCGAUAAGGUGUUCGAUGCGAUUUGCGAUGGCAGGUUUAUCGAUCCGAUGCUCGAGUGCUUGUCGGAGUGGAACGGAGCUCCGAUUCCUAUUUGCUAGAAUUUAGUUUUUAUUUCUUGUUAUGGUGCAAGGGUUUGCUGUUUGUUGUGCUUGUUGUUAUUUGUUUUGAGAGCGCUGAUUCAUGAAGUUGCAGGUAUACAGUACAUAAAAAUAAAGGGAUUGUUACUGUCUGAUAAAUGUGUGUUCAUUUUGAUUGGUCA